GAUGAACGCUGGCGGCGUGCUUAACACAUGCAAGUCGAACGGGGAACAUUUUAUUGAAGCUUCGGCAGAUCUAGUUUGUUCCUAGUGGCGGACGGGUGAGUAACGCGUGGGUAACCUGCCUCACACUGGGGGAUAACAGUCAGAAAUGGCUGCUAAUACCGCAUAAGCGCACAGUAUCGCAUGAUGCAGUGUGAAAAACUCCGGUGGUGUGAGAUGGACCCGCGUUGGAUUAGCUAGUUGGCAGGGCAGCGGCCUACCAAGGCGACGAUCCAUAGCCGGCCUGAGAGGGUGAACGGCCACAUUGGGACUGAGACACGGCCCAGACUCCUACGGGAGGCAGCAGUGGGGAAUAUUGCACAAUGGGGGAAACCCUGAUGCAGCGACGCCGCGUGAAGGAAGAAGUAUCUCGGUAUGUAAACUUCUAUCAGCAGGGAAGAAAAUGACGGUACCUGACUAAGAAGCCCCGGCUAACUACGUGCCAGCAGCCGCGGUAAUACGUAGGGGGCAAGCGUUAUCCGGAUUUACUGGGUGUAAAGGGAGCGUAGACGGUGUUGCAAGUCUGAUGUGAAAGGCGGGGGCUCAACCCCUGGACUGCAUUGGAAACUGUGAUACUCGAGUGCCGGAGAGGUAAGCGGAAUUCCUAGUGUAGCGGUGAAAUGCGUAGAUAUUAGGAGGAACACCAGUGGCGAAGGCGGCUUACUGGACGGUAACUGACGUUGAGGCUCGAAAGCGUGGGGAGCAAACAGGAUUAGAU
rnacentral:rRNA from 1 species